AAUUUAAGCACUUUCUUUUUUUUCAGGCCAGAGAGAUUAGGACUACUUCCCCAAUAAAAGUAAGUUACGGUUGCUUCGUCUCUGUGAAGGUGAUCCCCAGCUCUGAGGUGCUUCUAACUAAGGAGGAGGUUACACGGCUGCUCAGAUAUAACUUCACCCACAACGGUAUCACUGUUGGGGCAGAGAGUGCCAACAUCAGUGUCAAGUCUUCCGACGAGAGUUCCCGUGUUACAGAAGCUUCUCCUAUUGUAUGCAGACUUGGAGCUACAACUGUUCCUCCAACAGUACAUGCUACCGGAGGCACUGUGA